CUACGGGGGGCAGCAGUUAGGAAUAUUCUACAAUGCGCGAAAGCGUGAUAGAUUGAACCAGAGUGCUUUUCAAAGAAAAGCUUUUGCCAGGUGUAAAAAGCCUGGCGAAUAAGGACUGGGUAAGACUAGUGCCAGCCGCCGCGGUAAUACUAGCGGUCCAAGUCGCAGCCAUUUUUAUUGGGUCUAAAACAUCCGUAGCUUGCUUAGUAAGUCCCUUGUGAAAUAUGAUAUCUCAAGUAUUGUGCGUGCAAGGGGUACUGCAAAGCUAGAGACUGGUAGACGUAAGAAGUAUGUUCAAAGUAUCGGUAAAAUGAGUUAAUCUUGGACAGACUAACAAGAGCGAAGGCAUCUUACGAGAACAGUUCUGACAGUAAGGGAUGAAGGCCAGGGGCGCAAAACGGAUUAGAUACCCUCGUAGUC
rnacentral:rRNA from 1 species